rnacentral:rRNA from 1 species
AUUGAACGCUGGCGGCAUGCCUUACACAUGCAAGUCGAACGGCAGCACGGGAGCAAUCCUGGUGGCGAGUGGCGAACGGGUGAGUAAUAUAUCGGAACGUGCCCAGUCGUGGGGGAUAACGUAGCGAAAGCUACGCUAAUACCGCAUACGAUCUACGGAUGAAAGCGGGGGAUCGCAAGACCUCGCGCGAUUGGAGCGGCCGAUAUCAGAUUAGGUAGUUGGUGAGGUAAAGGCUCACCAAGCCGACGAUCUGUAGCUGGUCUGAGAGGACGACCAGCCACACUGGGACUGAGACACGGCCCAGACUCCUACGGGAGGCAGCAGUGGGAAUUUGGACAAUGGGCGCAAGCCUGAUCCAGCAAUGCCGCGUGCAGGAUGAAGGCCUUCGGGUUGUAAACUGCUUUUGUACGGAACGAAACGGUGAGCUCUAAUACAGUUUGCUAAUGACGGUACCGUAAGAAUAAGCACCGGCUAACUACGUG